UCCAGCAGCCGCGGUAAUACGUUCCCGGGUCUUGUACACACCGCCCGUCACACCACGAGAGUUUACAACACCCGAAGCCGGUGGGGUAACCGCAAGGAGCCAGCCGUCGAAGGUGGGGUAGAUGAUUGGGGUGAAGUCGUAACAAGGUAGCCGUAUCGGAAGGUGCGGCUGGAUCACCUCCUUUCUAAGGAUAUACCGUUUCCUGAUGGGGAACGAUAGGCAUCGCAAGAUGCAAAUCGACAUGGUCGCUCAUGUUCAGUUGUGAGGAAACAACUCAGACCCCGAAAAGUGACGAUGAGCGUUGAACCUGAUUCCGAUUACUUUUCGGGGACCCCGAAUGA
rnacentral:misc_RNA from 1 species